AAACAUUGCAAGGAAGUGUAGAUGCAGCUUAACAUGUGAUAAAACCUUACAAUAUCCUUGAGGGGUAGCAUUCAUAGAAAGAAAUGAAUGCUAUAAAAAGUCCUAGUGCUGGUGUGAGGAAAAUAUUUGUAACAACUUUAGGAAAAGGAGUUAGUUUUGCCAAACAAAGAGCUAAAUAUGUCGCAGAUUCUACACGAGAGCGGGCCAUGGAUGUGAUGUCGUCUUCAAAACGGAUUCUUUACAAUGCCAUAGCCUCUGUUCUCACUUUUGUUCUCAUCAUUUCCAUCUCUGUAUUUAUGUACGGUACUUUCUACUAUGCGUACAUGCCGUUAGAGAUACAUGAAGAACCUGUAAACCUGCAGUUCCUCCCAUGUACUGACCAGGUUGGAAUCUGCAGCUAUCCAAAUGCAACGGUCAACCUUCAUCCUAAAAUUAAGCUUAUGACAGGUCAACCAUACAGUGUUUCAGUACGCCUGGAACUUCCAGACUCGACCUUUAAUCAGGAGCUGGGAAUGUUUAUGUCUUGUCUUGAAGUUCUAAAGAAUGAUAAAAACCUAGAAACAAGCUGUAAAUCCUCAAUACUAGAGUUCAGAUCCCCUCUACUCAGAUAUCUAGAAACGUUUAUGUUUUCCCCGUUUCUGCUGACUGGCACUUCAAGUCAGAAACAAUGGGUCACUAUCAACUUUUUCAGGAAGUUUAUGGACGAUCCCCACAAUUUGGCGAACAGAAUGUUUUUUGAAAUUAAAUCAAAACAUAUUCAGGUGUACAGUACAACCCUGCUUGUGCAUGCAGAAUUCUCUGGCCUUCGACAUAUAAUGUUUCAUCAUCCCUGGAUAUCCUCUGCAGCGGGUAUUCUUUCCAACAUUGUUGUUCUCUCUCUAGUCAUUCUAAUCUCUUGGAGCAGAUUGUUCACCGAAGACGAGGAGUAUUACCUGCAACACUACGAUUCAGGAUUACAUGGAGAAAUAUUGAAGGAGGAUGAUCUAGAUAAAGAAGAAAAGGAGAUUUCAAACACAGACGACAUAGAAAUCCUCAAAAAUGGCGGAGCAAAGAAUAUUGAAACAAUACAUUAAAUGUUGUAAAUUAUUGUGAAAAUUUUUUUCCAAAUUUUUUAUUCCCGAUACGAGAGCCUAUAAUUGAUAACGCUGAAAGCAUGUAAAAAAAAAGGAAUUCAUAGAAAUUUAUUCAAAUUUUUUUAAUAAGGGUUAUCGAAAGAAAUUAUUUUUAUUAUGAGUUUAAAUGUCAGCGUUCGUUUUUUGUUCUCGAUACUUUGUAGACUCAAUUUACUUAAUUUACAUAUCAAACAAUUUGCUAGCAAAAAUAAACUAAU
rnacentral:misc_RNA from 1 species